ensembl:lncRNA
GGCAGGGGCCUAGCCGGCGCUCCCCUCAGCAUGCAUGCACCUGCAGGUACUCAUGCAUUCAACGUGCCUCCAAGCCCUGGAAAGGGGAAAAGGUGUGGAAAGAGAGAGGUGCGUGGUCAGGGAGCAGCCCCAUGUGCGGGUGAAACAUCUCUGAAAAACUCCGUCAAAAGGACCAAAUGAGCAUCUCACGUGGAGAUGGAAGAGGGAUGUGGUCCAGACGCUGUGGGCAGCGUCCCUAGUCACGGUGUCCAUAGGCUGCGACCCAGAAGCACAAUUUUAUGGGCUCUUCACUGAUGUAUCCCCAGGCCCCAGAAUGCUGCCUAGGUUACAAAUAAAGUUGAUUAAAAGACAGUCGCACAAUAUGGCACCCACCUUGUGAAGUACGACAUUUCCAACCACUGUCAGAAACGUGGAAGUUUAAAGGAAAGCUCUAUCAAGUCACUUUGCAAAAUUUCACCGGAUGACCUCUAGCGCUAUGAAAAUAGCUGAGUCAGAACACAGCUGGUGGAAAAGAAAAUGGCAUGAACCCUCUAAAUCAGCAUGGUAGAGAAAAUGCCAUGCUGUCCUGCUCUCCUGGAGGAGGAAAUGGCAACCCGCUCCAAUAUUCUUGCGUGGGAAAUCCCAUGGACAGAGGAGCUUGGCAUACUACAGUCCAUGGGUUCACAAAAGAGAUGGACACGACUUAGCAACUAAACAACAACAACCAUCCUCCCUGGAGAUAAGCCCCAAGCACCCAAAAGGCUACAAAACUCAGCCGUCUCCAUGCCCUGGACCUGGCUCAGUUCUCGGGAUCUGGUUUCAAGAUUCAUCUACCAUCUUCCCAAGUAUUGAUCAAGGACAGCGUUCUUCUACCACAGUUGGGCUCCGUAUUGAUUGUCGGGGGAUCUGCUCUAUUCGACCUCUGCAGAUGAGAAAAAUGAUUACGUAUGGAAUCUACCAGGUGGCGGUAGUGGUAAAGAAUCCACCUGUCAAUGCAGGAGACAUUAGAGACAUGGGUCAGGAAGAUCCCCUGGAGAAAAGCAUGGCAGCCUACUCCAGUGUUCUUGCCUGGAGAAUCCCAUGGGCAGAGGAGCCUGGAAGGCUACAAUCCAUAGGGUCACAAGGAGUAGGACACGACUGAAGUGACUUAGCAUGCACACAUGACUGAGGGGUGUGUGUGUGUGUGUGUGUGUGUGUGUGUGUGUGUGUGUGUGUUUCUCUUUAUAAAAAUUGGAAUACAUAUUCUAAGUAUUUAUGUUAUGAUGAGAUUUUGAACGGAGGCACAGGACUAACC